CCCUAUUUUAUAUUGCUAUACUUUAUAAAGUAAUUUGAAAUUCAAUUAGUUUAAAAGGCUCAUGCAAAAUUGUUUCUAAGGUAACUCCAUUUCAGGAAAUGACAUCAGCAUCCCAUUUUUGCAGUUCAUACAAAAGCAGUGUGAAACCUGAUAGAAAGCAUUACACCAAGCAGAAAAAAAUCACUAGAUAAAUGAUGUUUUUAUACAUUUAUAUUGUUCUUCUCUUAGAGAUGCAAGCAGUUCUGGGUUUUGAUCAAGGUCAAAAGACUUUUCUUAAGGCAGAGGGGAAAACUGUGUAUCUGCCCUGCAAAGUGACUGGUCAGAGCUAUAUCCAUUGGUACCAAAUGAAAGAUGGUGAAGCCCCAUCGAGGCUACUCUAUAUCAGUCAAAGAGGUGAUGUCACUCGUGAUACCAAUAACCCUCAAGCAAAUGAUUUCACAGUGGACAAAACAAAGCUUUAUGAUCUAAAACUGACUGACAUUCAAAAGAGUCAUGCUGCUUUUUACUUCUGCGCCUACUGGGACUCAA